CAUGAACACUGGCCUGAAGAAGAAAGCCAGUUGGCUUCCUGGGGCUCUUAAACCUUUCCUUUCUCACCUUGGGCUACAGAAGCUAUUUUCUGAAACCUAAAGAAAACUCAAGUAUGUCUCCUGGAGAUGUGUCACCCAAGGCUGGAGAGUGGCUCAGCAGAGUAUUUUGGAAGUUGAGCAGAAAACUAUGCACCGGGCAGGCAAGAUAGCUCCGUGGAUAAGGCUGCUUUCCACCAAACCUGAGGACCUGUGUUCCAUUUCUGGGACCCACCUGGUGGAAGGAGAGAACUGACUCCCACAGGCUGUCCUCAGACUUCCGUAUGCACUCCGUGUAUACUGCCACCACCCACAUAAAUAAACAAAUAACCAAAUAAAUAAAUAAAACAAGCAAAUGCUAUUUUAAAAAUAGGCUGAU
rnacentral:sRNA from 1 species